rnacentral:rRNA from 1 species
UUGCACGCUGGCGGCCGGCCUAACACAUGCAAGUCGAGCGGAUGAAGGGAGCUUGCUCCUGGAUUCAGCGGCGGACGGGUGAGUAAUGCCUAGGAAUCUGCCUGGUAGUGGGGGAUAACGUCCGGAAACGGGCGCUAAUACCGCAUACGUCCUGAGGGAGAAAGUGGGGGAUCUUCGGACCUCACGCUAUCAGAUGAGCCUAGGUCGGAUUAGCUAGUUGGUGGGGUAAAGGCCUACCAAGGCGACGAUCCGUAACUGGUCUGAGAGGAUGAUCAGUCACACUGGAACUGAGACACGGUCCAGACUCCUACGGGAGGCAGCAGUGGGGAAUAUUGGACAAUGGGCGAAAGCCUGAUCCAGCCAUGCCGCGUGUGUGAAGAAGGUCUUCGGAUUGUAAAGCACUUUAAGUUGGGAGGAAGGGCAGUAAGUUAAUACCUUGCUGUUUUGACGUUACCAACAGAAUAAGCACCGGCUAACUUCGUG